rnacentral:lncRNA from 10 species
AAUCUUUCUCCUCCCUUCUUUGUGGUUCCUGAACUGAUAAAAAUGAGCUGCAUUUGCUUACUUUAUUGGAAUACAGUCCUCCCAUAACAAGACUAAGUGAAAGAGAACAUGUUUUCCAGGGGAAGAAAGCAUGGACUACGGCGGAGCUAAACAACAUUUACCAGCCUACCACAGAGUUAUGGGGGAGAAGGUUAUAUGACCAAGAUUUAGACAACAAAAAGUGAUCAGAAGGUGGAAGAAUAUGUCAACAGA